UACGGAGGGUGCAAGCGUUGUCCGGAUUUAUUGGGUUUAAAGGGUGCGUAGGCGGCCCGUUAAGUCAGUGGUGAAAGCCUCCAGCUCAACUGGAGAACUGCCAUUGAUACUGGCGGGCUUGAGUACAGACGAGGUUGGCGGAAUUGAUUGUGUAGCGGUGAAAUGCAUAGAUACAAUCAAGAACUCCGAUUGCGUAGGCAGCUAACUAGGCUGUAACUGACGCUGAGGCACGAAAGCGUGGGGAGCGAACAGG
rnacentral:rRNA from 1 species